CCCAGACCCAGACUUGACACUCUCCAGAUGUCUUCCAUCCACAUAUUCCUCCCCAUUUUAAGACAUUGAGGAUUCGUGGGACGCUUGGUGGUGAGGAGAAGACAUAUACAAAUAUAGAGACAAAACUGAAAAGCAGGAAGACCACCACCACAAUGGAAGGUUUGGAGACAAGUAGGCUUUGGGCAGCAGUAGAAGCUCCCCCAAUCCCCCCCCCCCUCCCUCUUUGCUCCACCAUUACCUCGAUUAGAGAAAAUUUGGCUGAUGGAGUUAGAGAGCACAUCAGAAGGGGCAGAAGGUGGAGGAUGAAGGAGCCAAGCUUCAGAAUUACAGGAAGUAUUAUGAGCAGCUUCUGUAGAGGAUGAAGACUUUUCCAAAUAAGAUCAACCAUGAGGUUGGAAAAUAUUGUCUACAAUUCUCCACACAUUCAAUGCCUGGUGGCAUCUAUUGACGAAGGAAGAAGGAAAGAGGUAACAAGUUUGAGGACGAGACGGAAGAAGGAAAGAGGCAACAAGUUUGAGGACGAGACAGAUCGAGUCACCAAGGUAUAGGGCCCAGAAACCAAGGGAAACGCAGACAAAACGCUUCUUCUCACCCUGACAGCCACACGGCCACUGAGGUAGUCCUGUGUUGGGAGACUGAGGAAACUAACUGCCUGCUGGUACACAGCAUACUGCAAAAGAAAAAGACAGCCACUGUUUUAUGCUGGGAGGCUCAUCUGCAUAAUGUGCCCUUGUUAUUUGAGGGCUUUUUAAGGUUGUAAGGAUUGUUUAUAUAAUGUUUUUCCAUUUCCAGCUUGCAAGAACCAAACAGUGAAAGACGUGCAACUUUAGCAUCAAGAAUCCAAUCGAACAGGCUGCUUGGAACAUCAGUACUAGUAAUACUGCGUUAGAAGAAGCCUUCAGAGCUAGUGCUGGCUUGCUCAAGGAACUGUGGUCUAGAUCAACAAGACCUUCCCAAGUUCCUUUGUCAUGGUGCAUCAAUUAGCCAGCAUCCUGCCCCAUAACAAUGUCCUUCCUAGCUCGCUUUUUAUUAUGACAGCAGAAAGUGGCACCGAAUGCCUGAUAUACUCUACCAAGUUGAAAGUAAUCAGAAGAUUCUCAGAUUUUGUAGUAGUGUAACAGUUACUAAAUAAAAAUACUUGUCCCCAAAAAUAAUAAAAUUCUCUCCAUUACAAAUUCUCUGGAGAGUCUUGGCAGUAUUUUCAACUUAGUACUAAUUUUUUUCAGGCAUUUUGGUUGUCCUAUUCAGUAGUGAGCUACAAAAUACAUCUGUAAUGGCAAGUACAAUUUUUUUCAGGCAUUUUGGUUGUCCUAUUCAGUAUGAGCUACAAAAUACAUCUGUAAUGGCAGCAGGAAGCUGUUAAAUCCAGACCACAAUUUCCAGGGUGAACCGCUUUUCUGGGUGGGCAGGAUGCUGGUUCAAUGAGUGCACAGGAACUUAGGAAGCUGUUGAUCAGACCAUAAUUUCAUGGGCCAAUGGGAUGCCACUGUUGUAGUUGUCUACAAUAAAGAGCUUGAUCCAACUGAUGCAGAGAAUCUAAACAGUUCAGCCUGCUGAGGAAGAGACAAGAAGCCAGGUUAACUGUCAGUAUCACCAUCCAUAAAAUAGAUUCCUGGAACCUAUAAAGCAGCUUAAUAAUUCAUUACAGUACUUUCCUUCCUUUAGUAUUUCUGACAAAUACAACACAGCAAGCUGUUGUGUGUCCUGUUGAACAAUAAGUGAAAUGUAGUCACUUUCACUGCUUUAAAGGCACCGAAACAUUUCUACUGUCUACAGUAAGCCGAUACAUGAAAUCGCUAUAUCCUGUUAUGAAUGCACGUCUAAAUAAAUUUUGUAUACUGAUUGGACAAA